GUUCUUUGAUUCCAUGGCGGAGGGUUUGAAAGGAGGAGAGCCUGGGGAAAGGAACAGGCAAGGGAUUUCAUGGAGACCUCUGAUUUGGUUAUUAAUUUGUGUGUGUUGUUUGUAAUGGUGGAAAUCUUAUCCCAAAGCUUUUAUGAGUUGGUCCAUGGUGAUUGGUGGUGUUUCAAUUUUCAUCCACGAAUAGAUAUGGAUUAAUUUAUUCUUCUUAGUUUUAUUUUUCAAGCAAAAUAAAUUCAAUUAUUAUUCUUAUUAAAAUGAAUUUUAAAUCACGUGCCCUCACUCCCUCGUUCACUCUUCAUCUUCUUCUUCACCUUUCAACAGCCGCCCGCCCUCUGUUUUGCUUUCUUUUUUUUAUCCGAUCAUAUCUCCCCGUCCGACGCUUGUUUGCUGUUCACAAAGUUUCAUUCUCCGUCGCGUCUCCCAUAGCCAAGCCGAAGCGUCUCUGUUUCAUCCGCAAGCCGUUCAGCGAGAUCCGACCGGCUCAGAUUUGUCUUCGUCCGCGAAGCGCCAGCCGCCGAGUUCCGCGUCGAUCUGUACUCCGUUCGAGCAUUUUUCUCAGAUCUGAGCAGCCUGCGCCUUGCUUUCUCCCUCACCGAGCCGCACAUCCGUCCGAGCCACGCCCCAAAUUCUGCUUUGAACGUCUUCAUUAGACUCAGUUCGUGCGCCACUGCCUCUGUCUUGCUGCGAAUCACUGUGACUUUGUUUGGUAGGGGUGAAAUUGUGGGUUAUGGCUACUUUUAAGUGUUAACCAUGGAGUAAUCAUUUGGAUUAAUACUUGAUUCUUGAGAAUACCAUUUGGGUAUAAUCCUCCAAUUCUUGAGUUUUCUAUGGCAGGAGUUUCUGGUUAAGUUUGUGGAUGUAGCAUUUGGGUGAAUUGAACAAGGGAAAUUGAUAUGUGAAAGGGUUAGUAACUUUCUUUUAGUAUAAUUGACUAGAAAUAUUAGAAUGAUAAAUGAACUAUGUUCUUUCCAUGGAGUCAUUUAAAAUUAUAUUAAAUAGAGUAGUGCAAUUUCAAUUUAAAAGUAAACACUAAUAAUGUAGAGAGAUAAAUUACAUAUUCAACCAUAACAAUCACUCUCAAAUCAUAUACUUUUUCUUCUCUAUGAAUCUCCUUGAAAAAAAUCUUAGAUCGCAUAUUCAGAUAAAAUAUAUUUCUAAAUAUGAUAUAGAAAUAAAUUUUAUAAAAAUGAAUUCAUAAGUUUAAUCAAUAGAACAAUUCAAUUCUUAAAAUAAAAUGUAACGAAAGAUAAAUAAGAAAACAUACACCUUCAGCUUGGGCUACUCAAAAAAUGAACAGGAAUAAAGAAAGAAAAUCUCUUAGCUUCUUUCGAACAAGUAGAAAUAUUGAUUAUUUGAAAAGUUG
rnacentral:lncRNA from 1 species